GCCGCUGCCAUGACAAGCAACAUGUAAAAGAUACCGAUUUCUGGAAUUCUAUGCAAGAAAAGCCCAAUGAGGUUACUCUGGAGCAAUUGUGGUGAUGAUGACUCAAGAUGGCUGCAGUCAUGACAAGUUGAACCCAUACAAUGUCCAGAUUUGUAAGGUUUCUGGAAUUCUAUGCAAGGAAAGCCCACUGAGGUUACUCUAGAGGAAUCGUGGUGAUUAUAACUCAAGAUGGCUGAAGACAUGACAAGUUGAAACCAUACAAUGUCCAGAUUUGAAAAGUAUGUAUUAUCCUUAUUUUAUAGUAAGAGCACCUAGACUCAGAGGUUAGGCAUGUGCAAAUACUUAUCUAAAAGAAUAGUAGAACUGAACUUUAAAUAGAAUCACUGUAGACUCUAAAGCCCAUGUUGUUUCCCCCUACACCUUGUGAUAUAAUAGUAGAGUGCUGAAAACAGCUACAAUGCCCUUCUACAGGUUAGUCCCACAUAGUUAUAGAAUGGCCAAAAGAAGAGAUUUUUAUGCUGUUCAUAGAAUAGUUAGCAGUAUGUUUAAUGGAUAAAUUCUCAUGGCAUAUGUUAACUUUUUUAAUUGAGACAUAAAACUAUAUAUAGCAAAAUGUUAAUCUGGUUUUCACAGUUAUGAUGUAAAUAAAAGUCUGGAAAGAAAAUUGAAAACACCGAAUGUUAUGACUGUGUGGUGGCGUGACUGUGGUUUAAAUAACUGUCCUCAGUUUCCUGUCCUAGCAUCCAUUCUUGCUCUCCACCCAGACCCCAGGUUCCUUUUGGACACCUCUUUCGAACCUCAAUGAGAUAAUAUUGAGCUUCCUCAUCUCCCUCUGGAGAGGCCGAAGAGGGUCACGGGGGCUUCCUUAGCCAGGUUCUUCUGUGUGUUUGUUCAGUAGGAGUGGAAAGAGCUUGGUGCAUCUGAAGAGGAGAUAACUAGCAAAGAAGGGUCCUUAACCAAGUUAAAGUGAGAUGUAAGAAUGGCAGGUCUCUCCCAUCUUACAGUAGCGCCUGCGCUGUGCAAACAAGUUCCUAUAAUGGCAAUUAAUGAGGCAAUUCCAUGUAGUUUAUGUGACGGUCAAAAGGGGUUUAUUUUGAGUCAACUUAGCAAGCAAAGGGGGUUGGUUAUGGGAUCCAGGAGAGGUGAGGUGCAGUUCAACAUGGUUCUCUGGAGAACUCUGACUUGGUCAGCAGUGCAGCAUCCAGCAUCCAGGAUCACGAGGUAACCAAGAGAGUGAACAUGUACACAUUUCAGUUCUUAAGGGGUCCCUAUCUUGGCCAUGCUCCAGGCAGGGGCAGGUACUUAGUACUUACCUGCUGCCUACUAUGGGUGGUACUUCAGGGGUGAAGC